CAUUAUCUAUGCCACUGAAUGAUAAAUGUCAUAAAUAGCAGCAACAAGCACACUGAGGGUAUAUGACCCUUGCAAAUAUGAUCAUCCUCCAUCCAUUUUUGCCAAAAUUUGAAUAGUUCUGGGUCCUCCUCUUCAUUCCAUAAUGGUAAGUUCGCCCUUUUUGCUGGGUAUGACAUGCAACUUUUAAGUGUGGUCGACAUAAAAUUCAGUUUAUGUUGCCCCUCCUUGAAAGUAG
rnacentral:lncRNA from 1 species